GUGUGCGUCCUCAGCUGGCAGCCAUGGCUGGCGGGUCCUUCCUCGCACGUGCUGCGGCCCUCACCUUAUCUUCCGUCAUCAGGGCACAGGCGCCGUGCAGGGCUAUUCCGAGUCCAGGUAAAGAUGGCUGAGCUCGGUGGCAGGAGGUCAGCCUGCAGUGGAGCAGGGACGUUUGCCCUGGGGAGACACGUGCCACCGGGUGGACAUCGAGGCCCUGGGGGUGGCCCUACAGCGUGGAAGGGAUGACCGAGCUCUGGAAGAUGUCCUGGUAAGUCAGUUGUGGAAGCUCGGUGGCCGGUGAAGCCAAACUCCGUAUCUUGAAUUCAUUUUCAGGACUAAUUCUCUCCCCUAGACUUCUAGGGACUGGGAGACUGCAGUGUGGGUCGUGCAGGAUUGGAGUGAUAUACUUAGCAAGCCUCCAGCGUGCUUGGGUCUGCAGUGACCCUGUGCAUUCCUACAGUGCUUGCCAGAACAAUUUUGAAGUGGUUUGAGGCCUUGCCCUGCUCUCUCCAGAGCAAGGUUAUAGAAAUUUCAGACAAUAUGGCAGACACCUGCCACGUGGAUAAAUUACAAGCCCGUAAGAUUUGCAAUUGCAAUGCCGCACUUCCCUGGGUUUUUGUUUUGCUUAACUGUGUGGGAUAGUUCUGCUCAUGGUGCAGAGGCAAAUAAGUCAUUUCUUUUUG
ensembl:processed_transcript